AUUGAACGCUGGCGGCAGGCCUAACACAUGCAAGUCGAACGGUAACAGGAAGCAGCUUGCUGCUUUGCUGACGAGUGGCGGACGGGUGAGUAAUGUCUGGGAAACUGCCUGAUGGAGGGGGAUAACUACUGGAAACGGUAGCUAAUACUGCAUAACGUCGCAAGACCAAAGAGGGGGACCUUCGGGCCUCUUGCCAUCGGAUGUGCCCAGAUGGGAUUAGCUAGUAGGUGGGGUAACGGCUCACCUAGGCGACGAUCCCUAGCUGGUCUGAGAGGAUGACCAGCCACACUGGAACUGAGACACGGUCCAGACUCCUACGGGAGGCAGCAGUGGGGAAUAUUGCACAAUGGGCGCAAGCCUGAUGCAGCCAUGCCGCGUGUAUGAAGAAGGCCUUCGGGUUGUAAAGUACUUUCAGCGGGGAGGAAGGGAGUAAAGUUAAUACCUUUGCUCAUUGACGUUACCCGCAGAAGAAGCACCGGCUAACUCCGUG
rnacentral:rRNA from 1 species